CCAUCCUCUUGUAGAAGCCCUCCAAGAAGUCCUCCCAAAAAUCUCCAAUCCACCGUUCUAUUGAAGUCGGGAAACAAGAGUUCAGCUGCCAUAGAUCCUUCUGUUCAGAGUAAGAAAGCAUCUUCAAAUUGUGCUCAGCACGCUGAUAAAGCAUCCCCUUCAAUUAUAUGCCCGCAAAGUAUAUGCAUGUCCAAACCUGAGACCCAGAAGGCCUCAACUUCAAAACUAUCUGAGAAGCCAAUGCUACAGCAUGUGCCUGUGAUGUCAAGGCCCUCUAGUGCUCCUCUAAUUCCUGGUCCUCGGCCAGCUGCUCCUGUGGUUUCCAUGGUUCAAAAACCCCCAUUACUUGCACGUUCUGUUAGUGCAACUGGUCGGCUUGGUCCUGAUACUUCACCUGCAAGUCCUAGUUAUGCUCCUUUGUCCUAUCGAAAUGCCA
rnacentral:misc_RNA from 1 species